UACGUAGGGUGCGAGCGUUAAUCGGAAUUACUGGGCGUAAAGCGUGCGCAGGCGGUGAUGUAAGACCGAUGUGAAAUCCCCGGGCUUAACCUGGGAACUGCAUUGGUGUCUGCAUUGCUCGAGUAUGGCAGAGGGGGGUGGAAUUCCACGUGUAGCAGUGAAAUGCGUAGAGAUGUGGAGGAACACCGAUGGCGAAGGCAGCCCCCUGGGCCAAUACUGACGCUCAUGCACGAAAGCGUGGGGAGCAAACAGG
rnacentral:rRNA from 1 species